rnacentral:rRNA from 1 species
GACGUGACUUCAGAGUUUGAUCCUGGCUCAGGACGAACGCUGGCGGCGUGCCUAACACAUGCAAGUCGAACGGAGUUCAUUGGAUUGAGGCUUCGGCCAAAUGAAUUUGAACUUGGUGGCGAACGGGUGAGUAACGCGUGAGCAACCUGCCUUUCAGAGGGGGACAACAGUUGGAAACGACUGCUAAUACCGCAUAACACAUCGAGGAGGCAUCUCCUUGAUGUCAAAGAUUUAUCGCUGAAAGAUGGGCUCGCGUCUGAUUAGAUAGUUGGUGAGGUAACGGCUCACCAAGUCGACGAUCAGUAGCCGGACUGAGAGGUUGAACGGCCACAUUGGGACUGAGAUACGGCCCAG